rfam:Daphnia magna strain Xinb3 scaffold01581, whole genome shotgun sequence.
AAAACGGCCCUUAUCAGGGCCAACAAUAUCAUCCGAAUAGAGAAUU